rnacentral:rRNA from 1 species
AUAGAGGGUGCUCGAAAGAGAGCCGUAACACAGGUGCUGCAUGGCUGUCGUCAGCUCGUGUCGUGAGAUGUUGGGUUAAGUCCCGCAACGAGCGCAACCCUUGUCAUUAGUUGCUACAUUCAGUUGGGCACUCUAAUGAGACUGCCGGUGACAAGCCGGAGGAAGGUGGGGAUGACGUCAAGUCCUCAUGGCCCUUAUAGGUGGGGCUACACACGUCAUACAAUGGCUGGUACAAAGGGUUGCCAACCCGCGAGGGGGAGCCAAUCCCAUAAAGCCAGUCGUAGUCCGGAUCGUAGUCUGCAACUCGACUACGUGAAGUCGGAACCGCUAGUAAUCGUGGAUCAGAAUGUCACGGUGAAUACGUUCCCGGGUCUU